UUAAAAAGAUAGUUUAAAAACUUAAUUUGAAAUAAAGUUAUUAUUUAUAUUUUUAGUAAUAAUUAUUUUAAUUAAAUUAUUUUUUUUUUAUUAAUUAUAUUUGAAAAAAUUAAUUUUAUUAUAGUUAAUAGUAUUGUGAAAGAAUUAAUUUUAUUAUUUAUAAGAAAAAUUUAUUUUUUGUACCUUGUGUAUCAGGGUUUAUUAAAAAUUAAUUAAAAAUUUAAUAAUCUCGAAUUUAAAAGAGCUAAUAAAUUAUAAUUUUUAUUGUAAAAUAAAUAUUUUAAAUAAUUUAUUAGUAAUGAAAUGUUAUUCGUUUUUAAAUAUAUCUAGUUUUUUAAGAAAUAAAUUUAAUUUAAUUAUUAAAAAUAUAAUUUUUUUUAUGUAAUUUUAUAUUAUUAAUAUUAAAUAUAUUUAGGGAUGAGCUUAAAUAUAAAUAAUUAAUAAAAAAUAUUUUUUAUUAAAAAUUUUAGGAUUAGAAAUUUUCAAAAUUUGAAGUAUGUUAUAAUUAAUUUUAAUUUUAUAUAAUUUUUAUUUUUUAUAAAUUAUUUAUUAAAAUUUAUUUAUUAAUUUUAAAUAAUUAGUAAUAAUGAUAAAAUUAGUAUAAAUUUAUUUAAAUUUAAAUAUUUAAAUAAGGUUAGUUAAAGGAACUCGGCAAAUUAUUUUUCACCUGUUUAUUAAAAACAUGUCCUUUUGUAAAAAUUUUAAGGUCUAACCUGCCCACUGAAUUAUUUGAAGGGCCGCAGUAUUUUGACUGUGCUAAGGUAGCAUAAUCAUUAGUUUUUUAAUUGAAAGCUAGAAUGAAGGGUUGAAUGAAAAAAUAACUGUCUUUAAUUAAUUUAAUUAAAAAUUUAUUUUUAAGUUAAAAAGCUUAAAUAUUUUUAAAAGACGAGAAGACCCUAUAGAGUUUAAUAUAUCAAUAAUUAUUUAAUUUUAGAAUUUUAUAUUUUUUGAUUUUUGAUUUAUUAAGUUGGGGUGAUUGAAAAAUUUAAUUAACUUUUUUUUUAUUUUAAUAUUAAUUAAUAAUUGAAUGAUCCAAUAUUUUUGAUUAUAAGAAUAAAUUACCUUAGGGAUAACAGCGUAAUUUUAUUAGAGAGUUCAAAUCGAUAAUAAAGAUUGCGACCUCGAUGUUGGAUUAAAAAUUUAAAUUUGGUGUAGAAGCUAAAUUAUUAAGUCUGUUCGACUUUUAAAAUUUUACAUGAUCUGAGUUUAAACCGGUGUGAGCCAGGUUGGUUUCUAUCUUUAAAUUAUUAUUAUAUUUUAGUACGAAAGGACCAAAUAUA
rnacentral:rRNA from 1 species